rnacentral:sRNA from 1 species
GCCAGGUGUGGUGGUGCAUGCCUGUAAUCCCAGCAACAUGGGAGGCUGAGGCAGGAGAAUCACAAGUUCAAGGUCAGCCCCAGCAACUUGGCAAAGUCCUGUCUCAA